UACGAAGGGGGCUAGCGUUGCUCGGAAUCACUGGGCGUAAAGCGCACGUAGGCGGUUCGUCGCGUCGGCUGUGAAAACCCGGAGCUCAACUCCGGGCCUGCAGUCGAUACGGGCGGACUUGAGUGUUGCAGGGGAGACUGGAAUUCCUGGUGUAGCGGUGAAAUGCGCAGAUAUCAGGAGGAACACCGGUGGCGAAGGCGGGUCUCUGGGCAACUACUGACGCUGAGGAGCGAAAGCGUGGGGAGCGAACAGG
rnacentral:rRNA from 1 species